UACGAAGGGGGCUAGCGUUGCUCGGAAUCACUGGGCGUAAAGCGCACGUAGGCGGCUUGUUAAGUCAGGGGUGAAAUCCUGGAGCUCAACUCCAGAACUGCCUUUGAUACUGGCGAGCUUGAGUUCGGGAGAGGUGAGUGGAACUGCGAGUGUAGAGGUGAAAUUCGUAGAUAUUCGCAAGAACACCAGUGGCGAAGGCGGCUCACUGGACCAUAACUGACGCUGAUGCACGAAAGCUAGGGGAGCAAACAGG
rnacentral:rRNA from 1 species